rnacentral:rRNA from 1 species
GAGCACGUAGGUGGGUUUGUAAGUCAGAUGUGAAAGCCUUCUGUUCAACGGAAGAAUUGCAUCUGAAACUGCGAGUCUUGAGUGUAGGAGGGGAGAAUGGAACUUCUGGUGGAGCGGUGAAAUGCGUAGAUAUCAGAAGGAACUCCGGCGGCGAAAGCGAUUCUCUGGCCUAUUACUGACACUCAGUGUGCGAAAGCUAGGGGAGCAAACGGGAUUAGAUACCCCGGUAGUCCUAGCCAUAAACGAUGGGCACUAAGUAGAGGGGUUUU